UUUCAGAAUCGUGACAAGUCCGAUAAGGACCUAAUAACGACAGCCAUCAAAGUUUUCAAAAAAUCACGCUCUGUCGAUAUAUCCAUCGCGUACCUAGAGUCCAUUAUCGUAUCUAAUUCCAAAUGAGGAGUCUAUGUUUGAACGCAUAAUUGAUAUCCAAAAAUUGCCGAUUAUUUUGAGACUAGAAGAUUCGUAGAGAUCUGAUCUGGUAUACGAUUCGAACAUCUCAUCGCAGUUAAAGGCGCAUAAUUCGAUUCGAAACUGCUCGCCGGUGCUGAAUACGUCGACGGCUCAUUAACAUUCCGGCUUAUUUAUUCGGGCCGGGAGAAGAAAUCGCUGCUCGAGAGUGAAGACGGGAUCCUCUCGGAAGGAUUACGUGGCUCGCGCAUCUCUCGCGAAAGGAACCACUCUCGCUUGCCUUCCUGCUCGCUCGUCUCUACCGUAUAACUCGUUCUACCUUCGACCAACCUGCCGCGCUUUCAGUGCCCGGAUACAACCUGCCGUAGUCGACACGCGCGCGAUUUGCUCGCGCCGAGUUCGAAUUUUUGCGCGUCCCGCUUGUUUUGUCCACGUCACUUUUCGUUUGCUCAAAUCCGGAAAACGAGAAACGAGUUAAGAAGCCAACGGGGAUCUCUCAAGGCAAUGUGAGGCAUAACAUGGCAGGCUGUUGAUAAAAUCGUCGAUAGGGCGGACAUCAAUUUUGAUAACGGUUUACCAAGAAGCACGGACAAAGAUACGCACCGGAUGUUGGGAAAGCGAGGCAAUUUUCGAAAGAGUCGUCGUGCUGAGAGACGUCGGGCACUUUCUCACGGCGUUCCGAGCGGAUAACUAUAUGGUAUGACGGAUGAAGUUUCUGGAAUAUCCAAUGAAGUCAGCGUGCAAACUAAGGCAGAGGUAUGAACACGCGGACGGAUUAUGGACGGUUGCGAUGCAUGGUCCGCGUGCGGACCCCCCCACGAGCGAGCGAGGUUUAGGCGCGUGCGAGCUGGAUUUAUGACCCCCAUUAUGACGUUGACGUAUCGCCUUCGUGAGGGUGGCCUAAAGCAAACCCAAGGCGAAUCUAAGCCCCGUGUAUCUAAGCCAACGGCUAGCCACAGGUCACCGCGACCGGUACGAGAAUACUUUGGGCUAAUCCUGCGGCUCGCCAUAUCUACGACAACUUUAAUUAACAAAUGUUUUAUUUUGCAACACACGAUGCGCAUGACACCUUUAUCUCGUUCUGCGGAGCAGAGUAUUUUUUUUAAUAUUCAUUAAAAUGAUUGGUAUUAAAUAAUAUGAAAUUGUUCCUCAUAUUAACAACGAUGUUUCAAAUAAAGUAACUGUAUCUUAUGUGACCUAUCUAAACUUUGUAAUUUUUUUAUAAUUUUUUGCCGAAUCUAGAAAUAAAAAUUGAUGAUCCAAUUCAAAGUAGAAAACAUUUCUAAACAUUAAUAUAAAAUACUGAACAAUUUCAAAUAUUUAUCUAGAUAAAAAUUUUGUUUAGAAAAAGUGCUAUUUAAUAAAAGUACCGAAGAAAUUACGAUCGAUGUGUGUAUAUUCAUUAUAUAACUAGACCAUAUCGGUCUUACCUGGCAAAAAAUUUCUUUCUUUUUUUUUUUAUGAGGAUGUUACGAUAAAAAUGUAAAUUAAAUAUAAGGUUGUAAACUACAAAUUUCUAGAGCUAUAUGUACAAUAAUAUGAACUGCGGAAAUUACAACCAUCACUCUCUCUUAACAGUUAGAAAGCAGUAAAAGCUUUCCCACGAAAUAUUAGAUCAUGAGAAACAUAAUCGAGAAAACUCUACCUUUGACUUCACUGUCAAUAACAGAAUACACAAACUGAGCAGCUGUUGCAAACAAGUCACGUUGACAGUCUGUAUAACAUACUCGGAUUAUUUGUUCAAUUCACCAAGUAACUACUUGAAAACAAGUCUGCCAUGUUGGGUACAGUUACCUUACAUUUGAUUAUUACAUUAAGAAAAGAAUAUCUUAUUCCAUGUUAAUAUUACGUUAGAGAUGAGGGGAGGAGUCAUUCAAACAAAAGAGCAGACACAUCCGAAAGUCAAGAACAUCGAAUUAACGGACACCGAACUGUCGCCGAGUUGGACAAGCGACGUAAUCGCGGCGCGGCACGAAAAUUAUUGGCAUCUUCCGUUCCAUAAUGGUUGUCUAGCGCCGCAAUAAAGCAGACGAGGAAAGGGGAAGAGAAACGGGGGAGACAGUGGCGCAUUGACGAUUUAAAGGGCGUGCGAACUCGCUUUUACGCGUCGGAUGCGAAACCCCGCGAUUCAAUUUAUAUCCUCUGACCGCGCGCUUCCUGUCUACGGCGCGCACAAUCUUUCGGGAUUGCACCACUUCGUCCACUUCCGGGGGAUUCCACUUCCCCUGUGCCCCCUCCCCCUCACCCUCUAUGAAAUACGACAAUGAUUCUAUCGGCAGCGAGCGUCGCGACGAUUCUCGGGAGGGUGGAAGGGUGACGCAAAUAAAUCGCGCUGCAAAAUGGAUCGGGCGGCAUGUUAUAGUGGUCGACGUUACGCAUCGGCGAGUGUCAAAACACCGUGGAGGAGCCGCAACUACGAUGCAUUAAAGGAAACCGAGUUAAUGGACAAACGUAGAGAUGUAAAAUUACCGGAUUCAAUAUGACAGUUACUUACGAUAAAAUUACGGUAAGAUAAUAAUUUAUUGAUAAUUUUGGUAAAAUUCGUUGUGCUUGAUAAUUUUAUGCGCAAAUGAGCUGUGAUAAUUUUCCAAAUUAAUCCAUGAGAUAAAGCAACAUUUUUUUUAUUAAUUAUAUCUCUAAUUGAUCCAAAUUAAUACACUUUUCCUAUAAAUUUAUAAAUAUUUUCUAUAUUCUCUGUCUCUGAUGAUGAGA